GUGGGGAAUAUUGGACAAUGGGCGAAAGCCUGAUCCAGCCAUGCCGCGUGUGUGAAGAAGGUCUUCGGAUUGUAAAGCACUUUAAGUUGGGAGGAAGGGCAGUAAGUUAAUACCUUGCUGUUUUGACGUUACCGACAGAAUAAGCACCGGCUAACUUCGUGCCAGCAGCCGCGGUAAUACGAAGGGUGCAAGCGUUAAUCGGAAUUACUGGGCGUAAAGCGCGCGUAGGUGGUUUUGUAAGUUGGAGGUGAAAUCCCCGGGCUCAACCUGGGAACUGCAUCCAAAACUGCAGGACUAGAGUACGGUAGAGGGUAGUGGAAUUUCCUGUGUAGCGGUGAAAUGCGUAGAUAUAGGAAGGAACACCAGUGGCGAAGGCGACUACCUGGACUGAUACUGACACUGAGGUGCGAAAGCGUGGGGAGCAAACAGGAUUAGAAACCCGAGUAGUCC
rnacentral:rRNA from 1 species